rnacentral:rRNA from 1 species
UUCUUGAAAAUUAAAAAAUUUGGCGGUAUUUUAAUCUAUUCAGAGGAACCUGUUUCAUAAAUGAUAGCCCACGAUAUGUGUUACUUUAUUUUUUAAUUUGUAUAUCGUCGUAUAAAGAAUAUUUUUGUAUGAAAUGUUUUCAGAUCAAGGUGUAGUUUAUGAUAAAGUAGAAAUGGGUUACAAUAAAAAGGGAAGUUAAAUUGGAUUUGGAAGUAAGCUCUAGAAUAUGUACAUAUUGCCCGUCGCUUCCAUAAUUUGGAAUAAGUCGUAACAAAGUAGAUUUAUUGGAAAAUGAGUCUGGAAAACAAAUUAGAGCUUGAUAAGCGUUUUAUUUACACUAAAAAGUUAAUUGUGAAGUUCAAUUUAAUUUGAAAUUAAUUGUUUAUUGUUUUUUUUGUUUUAUUGAUUUUAAUAAAAGUAUUUUAUUGUUAUAUAUAUAUUUGAAUUGAUUUAAUUAUAGUUUAUUGUAUUGUGAAAGAUUAAUUUUAAUUUUGGAUAAGAAUAUUUAAUUUGUGGUACCUUGUGUGUCAGGGUAAAUUUAUAAAUGUUUCCCGAAUUUAGAAGAGUUAAUUUUAUUGUAAAAUAAAUAUUUUUAAUAUGUAAUUGGAUAUGAAACGUUAUUCGUUUUUAAAUAUAUCUGGUUCUUGAAGAAAUAAAUUUAAUACAUUUUAUUUUAAUAAUUGUUCUAGGGGAUAAGCUCUUAUUUAAAUUUUUAAAAAUUAUAUUUUUUGUUUUGUUAAUAGGAUUAGAAAUGUUCAUUUUUAAUAGUUUUUAAUAAUAAUGAUUUUUAAGUUAUUUAUUUGAGUAUUAUUUUUAUUUAUGGUUUUUAAGUAAUAAUGAUUUAAUUAUUAAGUUUUUAAAAAGGAACUCGGCAAAUAUUUUUUUCACCUGUUUAAUAAAAACAUGUCUUUUUGAUGAUAAUUUAAAGUCUAGCCUGCCCACUGAUUAAAUGGCCGCAGUAUAUUGACUGUGCAAAGGUAGCAUAAUCAAUAGUUUUUUAAUUGGGAACUGGUAUGAAUGGCUGAAUGAGGAAAAAUCUGUCUUUAAAAUUUUAUUUUUAAGUUAAAAAGCUUAAAUUUUUUAAAAAGACGAGAAGACCCUAUAGAGUUUUUUUGUUGG